CGCGGGGUAGAGCAGCCUGGCAGCUCGCAAGGCUCAUAACCUUGAGGUCGUGGGUUCAAAUCCCACCCCCGCAACCA
rnacentral:tRNA from 1 species